rnacentral:rRNA from 1 species
UACAGAGGGUGCGAGCGUUAAUCGGAAUUACUGGGCGUAAAGCGUGCGUAGACGGUUAUGUAAGUCGGAUGUGAAAGCCCCGGGCCUAACCUGGGAACUGCAUUCGAGACUGCAUAGCUAGGAUGCGGAAGAGGGAAGUGGAAUUUCCGGUGUAGCGGUGAAAUACGUAGAUAUCGGAAGGAACAUCAGUGGCGAAAGCGACUUCCUGGUCCAGCAUCGACGUUCAGGCACGAAAGCGUGGGGGGCAAACAGG